AAUAAACCAAUCUUUCACUUUUUACCUACAAUGUUUAACUCUUCGUUUUAUUUAAAAAACUUUUACGAUUAAUAUUUUUAUUUUUAUUAGAUGAUAAAUCAUGAAUAGUACUUUAUAUGUGACUAAUUUUUUUAAAUUAUUUUAAAUAAGAUGGAUGAUGAAACGUUGGACAUGAAACC
rnacentral:pre_miRNA from 1 species